GAUGAACGCUGGCGGCGUGCCUAAUACAUGCAAGUCGAGCGAACGGACGAGAAGCUUGCUUCUCUGAUGUUAGCGGCGGACGGGUGAGUAACACGUGGAUAACCUACCUAUAAGACUGGGAUAACUUCGGGAAACCGGAGCUAAUACCGGAUAAUAUUUUGAACCGCAUGGUUCAAAAGUGAAAGACGGUCUUGCUGUCACUUAUAGAUGGAUCCGCGCUGCAUUAGCUAGUUGGUAAGGUAACGGCUUACCAAGGCAACGAUGCAUAGCCGACCUGAGAGGGUGAUCGGCCACACUGGAACUGAGACACGGUCCAGACUCCUACGGGAGGCAGCAGUAGGGAAUCUUCCGCAAUGGGCGAAAGCCUGACGGAGCAACGCCGCGUGAGUGAUGAAGGUCCUCGGAUCGUAAAACUCUGUUAUUAGGGAAGAACAUAUGUGUAAGUAACUGUGCACAUCUUGACGGUACCUAACCAGAAAGCCACGGCUAACUACGUG
rnacentral:rRNA from 1 species